rnacentral:rRNA from 1 species
CCUACGGGGGGCAGCAGUGGGGAAUAUUGGACAAUGGGCGAAAGCCUGAUCCAGCCGUGCCGCGUGUGUGAAGAAGGCCUUCGGGUUGUAAAGCACUUUCAGUGGGGAAGAAAGCCUUGGGGCUAAUACCCUCGAGGAAGGACAUCACCCACAGAAGAAGCACCGGCUAACUCCGUGCCAGCAGCCGCGGUAAUACGGAGGGUGCGAGCGUUAAUCGGAAUUACUGGGCGUAAAGCGCGCGUAGGCGGUCUGAUAAGCCGGUUGUGAAAGCCCCGGGCUCAACCUGGGAACGGCAUCCGGAACUGUCAGGCUAGAGUGCAGGAGAGGAAGGUAGAAUUCCCGGUGUAGCGGUGAAAUGCGUAGAGAUCGGGAGGAAUACCAGUGGCGAAGGCGGCCUUCUGGACUGACACUGACGCUGAGGUGCGAAAGCGUGGGUAGCAAACAGGAUUAGAUACCCGAGUAGUC